CCUACGGGGGGCAGCAGUGAGGAAUAUUGGUCAAUGGCCGGAAGGCUGAACCAGCCAAGCCGCGUGAAGGACGAAGGUGCCAAGCAUUGUAAACUUCUUUUGUCAAGGGACAAAAUCAGGCUCGAGAGCCUGACCGAGGGUACUUGAAGAAAAAGCAUCGGCUAACUCCGUGCCAGCAGCCGCGGUAAUACGGAGGAUGCGAGCGUUAUCCGGAUUUAUUGGGUUUAAAGGGUGCGCAGGCGGGCUGUUAAGCCGGCGGUAACAAUUCAGGGCUCAACCCUGUCGAGCCGUCGGAACUGGCAGUCUUGAGUGGGCGAGAAGUAUGCGGAAUGCGUGGUGUAGCGGUGAAAUGCAUAGAUAUCACGCAGAACGCCGAUUGCGAAGGCAGCAUACCGGCGCCCAACUGACGCUGAGGCACGAAAGCGUGGGGAUCGAACAGGAUUAGAUACCCCGGUAGUC
rnacentral:rRNA from 1 species